GAGAGCCGUGUGCGGGAAAACCGCACGCACGGUUCGGAGGGAGGGGCGGGCCAAACCCGUCCCUACCCCUAAU
rnacentral:ncRNA from 1 species